CCUACGGGUGGCAGCAGUGGGGAAUAUUGGACAAUGGGGGCAACCCUGAUCCAGCCAUGCCGCGUGUGUGAAGAAGGCCCUCGGGUUGUAAAGCACUUUCAGUGAGGAAGAACGCCUGGUGGUUAAUACCCAUCAGGAAAGACAUCACUCACAGAAGAAGCACCGGCUAACUCCGUGCCAGCAGCCGCGGUAAUACGGAGGGUGCGAGCGUUAAUCGGAAUUACUGGGCGUAAAGCGCGCGUAGGUGGCUUGAUAAGCCGGUUGUGAAAGCCCCGGGCUCAACCUGGGAACGGCAUCCGGAAACGUCAAGCUAGAGUGCAGGAGAGGAAGGUAUAACUCGCGGUGUAGUGGUGAAAUGCGUAGAGAUAGGGAGGAAGACCAGUGGCGAAGGCGGCCUUCUGGACUGACUAUGCCACUGAGGUGCGAAAGCGUGGGUAGAAACCAGGAUCAGAUACCCCUGUAGUC
rnacentral:rRNA from 1 species